rnacentral:rRNA from 1 species
UACGGAGGGUGCAAGCGUUAUCCGGAUUCACUGGGUUUAAAGGAUGCGUAGGUGGGCAAGUAAGUCAGUGGUGAAAUCUCCGGGCUUAACCCGGAAACUGCCAUUGAUACUAUUUGUCUUGAAUACUGUGGAGGUCAGCGGAAUAUGUCAUGUAGCGGUGAAAUGCUUAGAUAUGACAUAGAACACCAAUUGCGAAGGCAGCUGGCUACACAAAUAUUGACACUGAGGCACGAAAGCGUGGGGAUCAAACAGG